rnacentral:misc_RNA from 1 species
GAUGAAGAACGCAGCGAAAUGCGAUACUUGGUGUGAAUUGCAGAAUCCCGUGAACCAUCGAGUCUUUGAACGCAAGUUGCGCCCGAAGCCAUUAGGCCGAGGGCACGCCUGCCUGGGCGUCACACGUCGUUGCCCCCCCAUCUAAUCCUUCGGGAUCGCGGGGGGCGGAUGAUGGCCUCCCGUGCGCCUCGUCGCGCGGUUGGCAUAAAUGCCAAGUCCUCGGCGACGCACGCCACGACAAUCGGUGGUUGCGAAACCUCGGUUGCCCGUUGUGUGCGGUCGUCGCGCAUCGAGGGCUCGAAAAAAUUGCCGGGCUCCGGCUCGACUUUCAACGCGACCCCAGGUCAGGCGGGGUUACCCGCUGAAUUUAAGCAUAUCAAUAAGCGGAGGA